rnacentral:tRNA from 1 species
GCUUGACUGGCUCAGUCAGUAGAGCAUGCGACUCUUGAUUGCAGUGUUGUGAGUUCAAGCCCCAUGUUGGGCG